rnacentral:lncRNA from 10 species
CAUCCCCAUGUUGGAGAUGAGACACUAAAGCUGAGAAUGAUUGAAGGAUAUGCUCAAGGUUACAUAACUAAUAAGUAUCAGAGGCAGGACUCGAACCCAGCAGAGCUGGCUGGGACGCAGGCUCCAUUUAGCUAAACGAUGAAACACAAACGUUUAUUGAGACUGUGCUUCGAAUCAACAGGGUUUUCCUCAGAUUGAGUUGCCGCCAAUUAUCCUCCAUGCAAUUAUGGUGAUCCCAGAAGCAAGCAGAUGGGGAAGAGUUUUGUUUUCAAAUGGAGGAGAAACCAAUAUGUAGGAAGAAAAGGCAGCUUGUUCAUUUGAACAGACUCCAGGUGGCUGGUCGCCAAAAGGCAAAGAGCUGGGGAGCCGGGUCUGGCCCUGGAUCAGUCCGACUGCCCACAGACCAGAGAAACCACCGAAACAACAGGGUUCUGCCUCCACUCAUCUCUUUUGCCAUCGGCCAGGUUGGCCGCGAGAGUGGAGGCCACGGGAGAGACAGACCACAGAGGCCCUCACAAGUCAGUCUCUUGACCUUGAUGCCACUGGAACAUUGAGUCCUGCUAUUUUGUUGUUGUUCAACAGCGACACGUCGGUGUAUUUUAUUAGAGAAGAAAAUUCAAGAAAAGGCAUGCAAAAGCCCAAACCAUAUGGCAAAUCUCCUUGGACAGACUUGAUUAUUUGGAGUUUCAUAAAACCUAAAAGCUAUUUCUUUUUUCUUAAGGAUUACAUUGUCCCGGACUUCUUGUUGGACCCUGACUCUUGAGGUUACCAUUCACAGGAGAACAGAGGAUGCUGUUGAAUGAUUACCAUAAUUAUUUCUGUCAGAGUUUAUAUUUAUAAUUACACAAUGCACCUAAGACUCCAUAAAAAAUAGUCACUAAUGUCAGUUCUAGGGGCAUCAAUGCUUACAGGGGAUUUGUUCCCCUUUUGACAAGAAGGGAACAUUAUCAGAUUGAAAUAAAUCCGAGGCACAUGGAGUGUGGA